rnacentral:rRNA from 1 species
AUUGAACGCUAGCGGGAUGCCUUACACAUGCAAGUCGAACGGAGUGGCGAACGGGUGAGUAAUGUAUCGGUACGUGCCUAGUCGCUGGGGAUAACUACGUGAAAGCGUAGCUAAUACCUCCUACUCUUUGACCGGCCGAUAUCGGAUUAGUUAGCUGGUGGGGUAACGGCUCACCAAGGCGACGAUCCGUAGCUGGUUUGACUGGACGACCAGACAAACUGGGACUGAGACACGGCCCAGACUCCUACGGGAGGCAGCAGUGGGGAAUUUUGGACAAUGGGGGAAACCCUGAUCAAGCCAUCCCGCGUGUGCGAUGAAGGCCUUAGGGUUGUAAAGCACUUUUGGCAGGAAAGCGGUACCUGCAGAAUAAGCACCGGCUAACUACGUGCCAGCAGCCGCGGUAAUAC